rnacentral:misc_RNA from 1 species
UCACCUUGGAUCGUUUGUAAUUGCUCUCUGAUUUAGCAGUAAUCCUUUUAGCGGUGUUAUCAUUGUUGUCUGUGUCAUCUCGGUAGGAAAGCGACAGCUGUUCGCAUACAAAUACCGCAGAAUUAUGACUAGAGAACUUUUGCGGGUCAAUCUGCUGCCCUCGUGACAAGGGUAGUUCGUAGAGCAAAGGAUGAGUCUUUGUUCUCACCGUCGAUUGCGUUUGCAGCGGAGUCAGCGAUGCUGGUUGAAGCGUUGGUGGUUCAGCGGCGACCACCUGUAGGUUUUGUUCUCCGGUAUCGAUGCGAUCACGGAUGAUGCACUCGGAAUCUGAACUAUCUUCAUCGCUGGACAUCGUGCGCGCAAGUGACCUGGAUCUGACCGGUAUUUCAGGAUCGCUACUGCUACGCCAUUUCGCGGCGUUGUCCGCCGAGUCGACGUCGCCGAGUUCCUCAGCGUUGGGAGGAAGGGAAGGCGUUGGUAGCGGUAGCAGCGGGAGGUUCCAAGUGCCCGAGAUGACGUAUUUUGUACGCCGGUUACCAAGGCUCACUUCCGACUUGGAAGCUACCGGUGUUCUCCAACAAUUCGGAUUUAUCACUACAACACGAAUCGGUGGCUGAAUCUACGAGAGCUUCACACUCUUCUGCGCCGAUCUCUUUGCUUGAUUUUAUUCCGGAUACGUUAUAAGUCGUCUGCAAUAAUCCACCGAUGGGUAUGGUAGAUUUCGGAACAUUUGGCGAACUCACGGAUCUUCUAACAAUUGUACACUGGUCUGGGGCAACGUCGAGGGUACUGCAGUCGAAAGAACGAUGAUAAACGGACGAUUUUCGUUUCGGUACACUUUUUCCCUGCACUUGCAUAAUUGAGGUGUGCAGAGUCAAUUUCUCCAAGUCGGAAUUCAGCCGAUCGACGCAGUUAGGAUCGGGAUCUGUGACCGACCGGCUCAGCGAAGGUAUCUGCUGAUUAUAACUUGACGAUUCCGACGGAAUUACAUCAUUUUCGGUAAUAGCUCGGAGGGACGAGUCAACUAAAACUCUCGAAGAGCUCAAGCCGUGUACUGAAUAAGUCGGAUCUACCGUGACUCGUGAUCCACCGCUGCUGUUGGAUUCAGUGAUAUCAGUUUCCUCUGAAGUAUUGUCGUCCGUACCCACAGACUUCCUCCUACAUCUCCAGACGGAUGAUUCGAAAAUUUCGUCUCCGAAGCGACUCGCCUUAUCAGAUAAGUUGUACGUCGAACUCACCGGAUCCAACUCCGUUUCUGAACUAUCUUUGUGUUGUAGUCCGGUGUCUUCCGUAUCCGGUAAAAGUUGUGAAACUUCUUCCUCUGGUUUGGCAAGACUAUAGGACGGCAGAGUAUAGGUGUAUCUAUGUAGAAAAGAAAAAUAAAUAAAUCAGAA